CAGGGUGGGGUGGUGGGAAGUCCCUGGAGAGUCUUCAGCAUGAAAGUGACAAGAGCUGAUGCAUGAUUAAAAAAAAAAAAUUUUUUUUUGUCAUGGCAAAAUAUCACAACAGAAUUUACCAUUGAAGCCAUUUUUAAAUGUAGGGUUCAGUGGUGUUAAGUGCAUUAACAUUGUGCUGCCAUCAUCCAUCCUUUUCCAGAACUGCUUCAUCUUUCCAAACUGAAACUCCUUGCCUUCUAAACACUGAUUCCCCACUUCCAGCCCGGCACCCACCAUUCUGCUUUGUCUCUAUAAAGUAUUCCCACUACCACGUGCUUAUGGAAAAUCACCUGACCGUACACGCAUGGGUUUAUUUCUGGGCUCUGUUCUAGUCCACCGGUCUCUAUGUCUGUGUAUACCGAUGCCACAUUGUACACAUUACUGCAGCUUUGUAGUGAGUGUGGAGAGGAAGGGCGAGAUCUCCAGCUUUGUUCUUUCUAAGGAGCGUUUGGACUAUUCAGAGUCCCUUGAGAUUCCAUAUGAAUUUUAGGAUGCAUUUUUCUACUUCUGCAGAAAAUGUUGUUGGCCAAUAUGAUAUUACGUUAGGGUGUGGUGAGCAGUUCAGGCAAGAUAUGAUGGUGCUUCCGAAGGUCUAGGUGGUGUGGGGUAUAGAGCAACCUGCAGGGAUUUGGGGAGGGUUUGGACGGUGAAAGUAACAGCAUUUAGUGCUAGAUUGGAGGUACGUGAGGAAGAAAAGAGGAAUCCAGAAUGACUCCUUCGUUGGAGGUUGGAGGAAAUGGUGAUGCCUAUUUCUGAGAUGGGAAGAAUGGGGAAGGGGUAUCAAGAGUUCCUUUGAGGACACGGGAAGUCCAAGAUGUCUGGGAGACUGGCAGGUGGAAGAGGGGCCAGCUGCACUGUGGACACCCAAGCGUGGGGGGCAGGGGUGACUGCAGAGCUGGGGAGAGACAUACGCAUGUCAGCACCAGAUGGGUGCCAGGUCAUGCCACACUUGGGGCCAGGGGGAGGAGGAGGCAGCGAAGGUGGCCGUAAGCUCCUGGAGAGAUUAUCCCUGAGCGUAAAAAAAAAUCAUAGUGAACCCAGAGUCUUCCAUGACUGUGUGCAUCCCAGGCUGAAGCAGUGAGGCGCCUGACAUUUGAGUGGGCAGCGGACCACCUGGGCGUCAUUCGCACUAACCUCGGGGGUUGGGAACUCCCAGCCCCCCAUGCAGCCCACUUCCGGCCCACCUGCUCUUCACCAGGACCCCUGGAUGUCCCUUCUUUACCCCUCUGCAGGUGUCCUAACUGCCUUCCCUGCGCACCUCCUCUCCUCCAGCUGGUCCUUGUCUAUGCAUUCGGAGCCCCGGCAGCCUGAAGAUGGGAAAGUGUCUUAUUCGUCUUUGUUUUCCCAUUGUCCAGUGUGGAGCCUGGCACAUGGAUCUCUGGAUAGAGAGCGGGGAUCUCAACAACACCCAGGGAAGUGGAAGUAGAAUGAACGUUGGUCUGGAAAUGAUAACAACAUAACAAAAGCUAAGGGGACCCUCUCCUGCACUCCUUCACGGCGGAUGGGCCCUGGCGGGGCCUCUGCAAGGCGAGGCGGGGCGGAGGGGUGCCCGCACGACAGCAAGCCAGCGACCGCGCAGCUCCCACAAACCUGUGCAGCACCAACGCUUGGGAAGACAGGUUGGCAGUUCUUAAAAUGUUAAACGCAUUCUUCUAUGUGACCCAGCAGCUCCGCUCCCGAUAUUGAGCCCAAGAAGCAAACGCUUAUGUCCACACAGAAGAUUGUCCCUGAGCGUUCAGCUCAGCUUCAGUCACAGUGGCCACAAACGGAAACAACGCGAAUGCCCAUGAACAGAUGGACUGGUGACCGAAUGACGGCACGUCCACACAAUGGACCUCGCCAGAAAAAACUGCCCAUACAGCAACCCAAACAAGUCUCCAAAGCUUAUGCUAAACCAAAGAAGCCAGACACAGAAGAGUACAUGACUCCGUUUAUGUGAAAUCCUAGAUCAGGCCAAACUAAUUUAUAGCGACAGAGAACAGACCCUCGGUUGCUUGCUGCGGUGGGGAUGGAGCCGGCCACGGGGGCCUGCGGGAAGACGAUCCGGGUCCUGAUUGUGCCAGGUGCUCACAGGGCAACACUUCUAGAUGAUACAGAAAAAUGAGAGAAAGCAGACAUGUACAAGGAGGAUGAGGAACCGCCGCCGUCCUGAGGUGCGCCCCUCCAGACCCCCGUUACAGAGAGAAGGGCACUCCGGGCCGAAGGAACAGCUUACACAAAGAAUGGCCCCAAAGAAGCUUAAGUCCCCGCCCUGGAGCGUAGAAGGCCGUGAAACUGCUGCACACCUCAUUUUGGCACGGAAUCAUGUCCGCUUGGUGUGGUCACCCUGGUGGGAGCCUCUGCCGAUCUGAAGCUCUGGUGGGGAUUUUCAGUGAGUCUGAUUAAUGAAGCAUUCCCCCCGCACUGGCCAGCCUGGAUGGGCUCAUGCACGGCUGUGCACUGACGUCCCGGGGGACUCUCUGGCAUGUGUAUCUACGGCCUUAAAAGGCUUUUGCCUUUGAUCCGGGAAUUCUGCUUCUGGAACUGUCUCUAAGGAAAUCAUCUGAAAUUUGGAAAGAGCAUUAUGCACAAAGAUGCUCAGAACAAUGUUAUAUAUAGCAGUAAACGUAGGAACAUUCAGCUCUUGAAGGAUAGGCAUUUGGUUAAGUGACAGUGGUGUAGCCUUGAUGGGGUAUUGUGUAGUCAUUAUAAGUAAGAUACACGAACACAGAAUGUGGUACAGGUGUCCCCAGAUACCCACUGCCUGCCCUCCACUAGCUCCUGCCAUUGGUCUGGCCAGAUUUAGGCGGGGGUGGGCGAGGGGAGGAAGGAAAGGUAUUGUUAAUGUCAGGAAUAAGAACUACAUCCAGUCUGAAGAUGAUGUUCGUAACUCUCGGGGGCGUGAAGGAUGCUCCCAUUAGCUGGGAGUCAGGCUAUGUUGCUGUAGGCACCAUGUACUUACAACCACCCCAACUGGAAACUUGGGCUAAAAUCUGGGAAAGCUUUCGGGAAAUAAUUUUUCACAGCUAUCUCAAGUUUCCUUGUGAGUUCGGCAUCAAGGAAUAUUACAGAAUCAACAAUAUAUAUCCAAGUGUCCUUAUUUUAAAAAAUAUUUUAUUUAUUUAUUUGACAGAGAGAGAGAGCUCGCACAAGCAGGGGGUGCGGCAGGCAGAGGGAGAGGGAGAAGCCGGCUUCCCGCUGAGCAGGGAGCCCGAUGCGGGGCUCGAUCCCAGGACCCUAAGAUCAUGACCUGAGCCGAAGGCAGACGCUUCACUGACUGAGCCACCCAGGCGCCCCUGUCAAAGUGCCUUUAAAUAGAAACACACAUGAAAUGAAGUUGUUUAUUGUCCAGCUGGCGAAAAUGUCGUGAUCAGGGGCUUGCAGAAACCUCACCACCUAUGUCCCUGAGGAGCAGUGGUUCAGUAUUUAUUAAUUCAGUGUUUAUAGCAACUCUUAUAACUGCCACCAAAAACGAGUAUCAACUAUCUUAUAAAGCAAAAAGAAACAAAUGUGCUUUAGUGGUGAGAAGCCUGUCUUCCCUUCAGUCAGGGCUCUUGGCCUUGUGUGAAACGGUGAUGUCUGGGUCCUCCUGACCUCGGAUCAGAGCCCCUCAGCUGUCCUGCAGUCCUUCAUGGGCUGCCAGAAACUUGGGAACGUUCCUUACCUUCGUUGACUCCCCACUGCCUCUCGCCUUGGAAGAGAGACCGUGGUGGAGCCCCCGCCCUGGUGCCUAGCGCUGACUUGGUGCUCCAUUGACGUUCUACCUGCCACCGCGGUCCUCCUGACCGUGGUCAUCUCAUCAGCCCUCCUGUGCCCAUUCUGUAGGGGGUGAGACAGGGGCUCAGAGCAGCCUUGGGGCUCACGCAGAGUCAGGUAGUGAAGCAGAGGGGCACCGGCCUGGCUCAGACAUAGAGUGUGAGACUCUUGAUCUCAGGGUCAUGAGUUCAAGCCCCACGUGGGGUGAGGAGACUACUUAAAAAAAAAAAAAGGAGCACCUGGGUGGCGCAGUCUGUUGAGCAUCAGACUCUUGGUUUUGGCUCAGGUCAUGACCUCGAGGUCAUGGGAUCCACAUUCCCAGGUCAGGCUCAGCACUCAGUGGUGAGUCUGCUUGGGAUUCUCUCACCCUCUCUCUCUGCCCCUCCCGCUUGUGCACGCAUGUUCUCACUCUCUCUCUCUCUCAUGAACAAAUAAAUCUUAAAAAAAGGGAGGGGGCCUCCUGGUUAAGCUUCUCAGUCGGUGAAGCAUCUGCCUUUGGCUCAGGUCAUGAUCUCAGGGUGCUGGAAUCGAGUCCUGCAUUGGGCUCCCUGCUCAGCAGAGAGUCUGCUUCUCCCUCUCCCGCUGCCCCUCCUCCCUGCUUGUGCUCUCUCUCUCUCUCUGUCUUAUAUAAAUAAAGUCUUAAAAAAAAAAAAAAAAGAAAGCGAGAGAAAAAAGAAGAGGCAGAGAUAAGAUUCAGAUUCUGGGCCGGCCAACUCCAGAGACUGGCUUCUUCCUCCUGCAGUUCUUAUGUGGUUGAGUCCUCUUGGCUCUUUCCGUGCCUUUGUUUCAUACCCUUACAAACCUUGUUCCAUUCGACUUGGGCGCUGGUACCCUGCAUGGCCGAGCCCCUCCUCUUCCCCAAGCUGCAGCCACGGGCCCACUGCCAUUACUGGAAGCUUUGGAAAUAAAGACUUCCCACAUGCCUCCACUACUCCAGAGUUCACGUUUGGUAGUUCCCUCCCAGGCGUUUACCAUGGGCAGAUUCAGUUUGUAUGUUCAUUCUUGUUCUUUGUCCAAUUUGGCAUCCUGCAUUUUUGCUUAAUAUUAAAGCAUUUCUCUUGCUCCUUUUAAUGAUUGCUCCUUGUUUACAGACUAGUGGAAGGAAAUACAUUUAAUUAGUAGCUGUGUCUUAUAAUAGUGCAAUUCUGGAAUAUUUUUCUUCUUUCCCUUAUUUUUCUUGAAAUAUAUUAAAAAAAAAAUAUGGUGAGGCGCCUGGGGGGCACAGUCCAUUGAGCAUUGGACUCUUGGUUUGGGCUCAGGUUGUGAUUUCGGUAUCAUGAGAUCAAGCCCUGCAUCAGGCUCUGUGCUCAGCACAGAGUCUGCUUGGGAUUCUCUCUCCCUCUCCCUCUGCCUCUCCCCGCUCAUGUGAAUGCACUCUGUC